rnacentral:rRNA from 1 species
UUGCCAGACUCCUACGGGAGGCAGCAGUGGGGAAUAUUGCACAAUGGGCGAAAGCCUGAUGCAGCAACGCCGCGUGAGCGAAGAAGGCCUUUGGGUCGUAAAGCUCUGUCCUAAGGGAAGAAGGAAGUGACGGUACCUUAGGAGGAAGCCCCGGCUAACUACGUGCCAGCAGCCGCGGUAAUACGUAGGGGGCAAGCGUUAUCCGGAAUUAUUGGGCGUAAAGAGUACGUAGGCGGUUCUUUAAGCGCAGGGUUUAAGGCGAUAGCUUAACUAUCGUUCGCCCUGUGAACUGGGGGACUUGAGUAUCGGAGAGGAAAGCGGAAUUCCUAGUGUAGCGGUGAAAUGCGUAGAUAUUAGGAGGAACACCAGUGGCGAAGGCGGCUUUCUGGACGAAAACUGACGCUGAGGUACGAAAGCGUGGGGAGCAAACAGGAUUAGAUACCCCCGUACU